rnacentral:rRNA from 3 species
GCGGCGGACGGGUGAGUAACACGUGGGCAACCUGCCCUGCAGACUGGGAUAACUUCGGGAAACCGGAGCUAAUACCGGAUAACACCGAAAACCGCAUGGUUUUCGGUUGAAAGGCGGCUUUUAGCUGUCACUGCAGGAUGGGCCCGCGGCGCAUUAGCUAGUUGGUGAGGUAACGGCUCACCAAGGCGACGAUGCGUAGCCGACCUGAGAGGGUGACCGGCCACACUGGGACUGAGACACGGCCCAGACUCCUACGGGAGGCAGCAGUAGGGAAUCUUCCGCAAUGGACGAAAGUCUGACGGAGCAACGCCGCGUGAGCGAAGAAGGUCUUCGGAUCGUAAAGCUCUGUUGUCAGGGAAGAACAAGUNCCGUUCGAACAGGGCGGUACCUUGACGGUACCUGACGAGGAAGCCACGGCUAACUACGUGCCAGCAGCCGCGGUAAUAC